rnacentral:rRNA from 1 species
CCUACGGGGGGCAGCAGUGAGGAAUAUUGGUCAAUGGCCGAAAGCCUGAACCAGCCAAGUCGCGUGAAGGAAGAAGGAUCUAUGGUUUGUAAACUUCUUUUAUAGGGGAAUAAAGGUAUCCACGUGUGGAUAUUUGCAUGUACCCUAUGAAUAAGCAUCGGCUAACUCCGUGCCAGCCGCCGCGGGAAUACGGAGGAUGCGAGCGUUAUCCGGAUUUAUUGGGUUUAAAGGGUGCGUAGGUGGUUUUUUAAGUCAGCGGUGAAAGUUUGUGGCUCAACCAUAAAAUUGCCGUUGAAACUGGAAGACUUGAGUGUGUUUGAGGUAGGCGGAAUGCGUGGUGUAGCGGUGAAAUGCAUAGAUAUCACGCAGAACUCCGAUUGCGAAGGCAGCUUACUAGGCCAUAACUGACACUGAAGCACGAAAGCGUGGGGAUCAAACAGGAUUAGAUACCCCUGUAGUC